rnacentral:tRNA from 6 species
GGGGUUAUAGCUCAGCUGGGAGAGCAUCUGCCUUACAAGCAGGGGGUCACAGGUUCGAGCCCUGUUAACCCCACCA